CCCGGCCAAUGCAAAGAGAACUU
rnacentral:piRNA from 1 species